rnacentral:lncRNA from 10 species
CCAAAAGCACUUGGGGGCACUGGGCCCAGUGCAAGAUCCCUCAUGUGAGAGGUAAAACAUUCAUUAUCUGGCCCCUGAGUAUUCAGAUCAAACAUAGCCUGCUGCAUACCCAUCUCCCAGAGUACCUGCACCAAGUCAGUAGAUGAUUGCCAUUUACUCACAAUUUCUGGUAUCUCUCCAACAUCAUUCCAAACAGUUAAUAUGGCUGUCAUCAGCCACUUGGUUAACAUGUGGUCACCUUGCCCUUGUGCCAACCAUUGGCACAGCUGCAGCUGCUGAUGAAGGGAGGGGUGAGAUGUGAUAGAAGCCAGCUUCUCCAUCACGGAGGCAGAGUAAGAAAUGCUGUCAGUCCCCUCAUCCCAAAGAUAGAGUAUCCAGGCUAGGAGGGCCUCCCCUGGGUGCUGCCAGCACUGUUUACCCAUAUCCUGCAACUCAGUGAGGGUAUAAGCACAAUAAGAGGUGUGGUCCACCACUGUGGGUGGUCCCUGGGCUGUCCCAUGGGGUCCCAUCGGCUGCUCAUGUUCUAUCUUCUGAUGGAUCACAGGACGAGCCCAUAGCAAAAGAGCCUCCUCCUCCUCAGGAUCAGGCCACGCAGGAGUGUCCAGCCUGGAGGACGGGCUCAGGGUUGCACCAACAGCUGUUGCCAACUCCUGCUCCAGGAUGUUUAUCUGAGCCUGUAAGUGCCCUGCUUGUGACUGGAGGUCCUUCACCCUCCAGGUUUUGCUCCAAGCUGUGCAUUUGGGCCCCCAGGCACCCAACUUGCACCUGAAGCUCCCAAACCUGCACCGCGUCCAGCAGGGACUGAGCAUGUACUUCACGUAGCACAGUCAGAAACGCCCAUCCGAUUCUGCUGGCGAAGGUGAGGUCUUUCUUGGUGCUGUGAGCUUCCAGCUGCUUCAGUGCCUUCUCACACUCACAGGAGACCCAUCCACUGCCUCCCACAUUUCCACUGGGGCCCAUUCAAGCAGCACCUCUGACACUAGGUACCACAGCCCAUCUGCGGCCACGUAGCCAACCUGAGAACCCCAAAGGCUGACAACCCACUCACCUCAUCAUGCCAACUACGCCAACUGUCAGGUUCAGGGUUAGGUUCCAGCCCAAGUUGAGGGCUGAGGGGAGUGGGUGGACAUGAGACAUGAGGCAAGGAGCUGGAAGAACACUCAAGAGACAGUAGGUAAAUGAGACAUGGCUUUAUUUAGCAACCCCUCACAGGGUCAGUGUUACAUUAAUACACUACACAAACAAUAGUGGCUGGGAGCUGGGUGGGGAGCUUCUCUAUGUUGUGUCUACACGGCUAUGAUUAUAUAAGACAUGGGACUGUGCAGCUGUGCCCCAAUCCCACUGAAUAAACAAGGCUGUUUACCCUGGCCUAUGCCUGCUGCCCAAUGCCUGCUUGGCUGUAGCACAGCCAUGUUCCUUAUAUAAAUUUACCAAAAUAUCAGCAAUUUAUAUUCUAAUACAGUAUGAUAGUUAUCUUUAAUAUUCAUGUGUUACUUUGGUUUAAAAAAUUUUUAAAGGAAAGAUUGGUUUUAGAACACAAGUAAAGUUUAAAUGGAAUCUACCAUCAGAUAACUUGCUCUCAGCUUGGAAAACCCUGGUGUUCCUUCUCCAUGGCACCUAAUAUUGAUCACGUGUCACUUAUUUUAUUCCAUAAGCUAAGUUAAGAAGGAAUUCUGAUCCUACAUCAUGGCUAUCCCCAUGUUAUUUAUACUUUAGGAAGCAAGGUACAUGUGGAAUUAUUUUCACACUAAUGCAGACCAAUUUUUUGUGUUUUUAGGAUAUGCCAAGCACACCUUUAUAAAUGAGAAUUUCUUAUAAUUAAUGAUUCAAACAACAAUAAGACAUCACCAAUAUGUAAUAAAGUAUGACUUGGCACAAGCUACAUUUUUCUCCUUUGGAGACAGAAAUGCAUAUUGACAGGUUCAUCUUUUUUAAAAAGACCAGCAUUUAAAUAUCUAAAGUCACCAAAUAAUCUCUACACAAUAAAAAAUAAGUUGUAAGAAUUGCAUGUGAAAGAAAGUCAACUUCUAAACAAAAAGCCCACCACUGUAACUGCCCAACAGCUUCACCUUGCUUGCUGCCUAGACAGAGCCAGAUUUAUCAAGAUGGGAAUUCCAAUAGGGAAAGAGUUAUUUAUGCAGAGCUGUCUGUGUGGGAGACCAGAGUAUUAUUAUUACUCAAAUCGAUCUCUGAGAACCCAGGGAUCAGAGUUUUUAAGGAUAAUUUGGUAGUUAGGGCACCAGUGAUGUGGGAGUUUAAUUGGUAAGGUUGAAAAUGAACUUAUAGGUAGUUGAAAGUGUCCUCUAGCGCUAAGUCAGUUCCUAGGUGGGGCCACAAGACCAGAUGAGUCAGUUUAUCAGUCUGGGUGGUGCCAGCUGAUCCAUCAGGUGCAGGGUCUGCAAAAUAUCUCAAGCACUGAUAUUAGGUUUUACAAUAGUGAUGUUAUCCCUGGGAGCAAUUUGGGACAUUUAGAAUCUUGCAGCCUUCAGCUGCAUGACUCUUAAACCAUAAUUUCUCAUCUGGUGGCUAAUCUGUUAGUCCUACAAAGGCAGUCUAAUCCCCAGGCAAGAAGGGGUUCGUUUUGGGAAAGGGUUGUUAUAUCUUUGUUUCAAACUAUAAAGUAAGUUUCUCCCAAAAUUAGUUUCACCUACACCCAGGAAUAAACAAGAACAGCUUGGAGGUCAGAAGCAAGAGGGAGUUGGUUAGGUCAGAUCUCUCUCACCGUCUCAGUUAUAAUUUUGCAACGGUGAUUUCACAAUCACCACUGAAAUAUCAUGAUUAAAUAUGUGCUAAAUAGCAAUGACAGAUGCAGACACUUUCUAAAAUAAAGCAAAACAAGGAUUUCAGGAAUGUAUAAUUUAAUUUGCAUCUUAGGGGGUAUAUUGUUAUCUUCCUGCUAAGGAAUUUACAUUCAUAACUUGCCAUGCACAAUUACAAUAUAGAGAGGUCUUGGAUGUUUUUGUUAGUAUUUCUUAAAAAAAUAACACAAAACAUAGAACAAUAACUUCAUAAUGCUGACCACAGUAAGCAAAUCAUUUGGAAUGCCUCUCUUGUCAUGUUAGCAAAGUAAAUAAUGAAUUUGCAAAUUCCAGAGAUUUCUGGGAUUACAGUCGUACUAAUGUUUUGGCCCAGGGUCCCUGCUGGCUCAUACCUUUUCAAGUCAGUGUUUUUGUAGUCACUAUUCCUUCCCACAUAAAUACUUGCACACAGUGAAACAAUGAGACUCCUGGCAUACCCAUAGGCUUUCUUAAUUCUUCUUUUUUUGUUCUGUUUCUGCUUUCCAGCUAAAUGACCGAAAAGGGAUGUUUUACUGUGGAUUCUUGGCUCCCCUACCUUUUAAAUAAUUUUUUUCUUCUUUCUUCAUUUUAACAUAGAUGUUUUUAAAGCUAAACAUUUAUCUUUUCUUUGAAAUUGCCUUUUCAAUUCAUUACAUUGCUGUAUGUUGAUUUCCAUUCUCAAGUCUGUUCUCAGACUAAACAUGGUACACAAUGUUUUGCUAGAAGAGUGGGGUACAAUAUUAUUCAAACUUUAUCCUUCAUCAUUUAUUAUCACUAAUGUACUGAUUUCCUUAAUUAAGCCCUCCCCAGUGGAUCACCUUGUUCACAGUCUUCUAGAGCUGUACUGUUCAAUAUGGUAGCCACUAGCCCCAUGUGGCUUGUAUCUAGAUAAUUUAAAUUUAAAGUAAUUACGUUACCAGAAAGGUGGUUCCAAUCCAGACCCCAAGGAAGGCAGUUCUUGGAUCUCAUGCAAGAAAUAAUUCUGAGUGAGUCCAUAGAGUAAAGUGAAAGCAAGUUCAUUAAGAAAGUAAAGAGAUAAAGAAUAGCCACUACAUAGGCAGAGCAGCCCUGAGGGCUGCUGGUUGCCCACUUUUAUGGUUAUUUCUUGAGCAUAUGCUAAACAAGGUGAGAGACAGGACUAGCUGGAUUUCCUGGGCCGACUAAGAAUCCCUAAGCCUAGCUGGGAAGGUGACCACAUCCACCUUUAAACACGAGGCUUGCAACUUAGCUCACACCUGACCAAUCAGAGAGCUCACUAAAAUGCUAAUUAGGCAAAAACAGGAGGUAAAGAAAUAGCCAAUCAUCUAUUGCCUGAGAGCACAGCAGGAGGGGCAAGGAUGGGGAUAUAAACCCAGGCAUUUGAGCCAGCAACAGCAACCCCUUUGGGUCCCCUCCCUUUGUAUGGGAGCUCUGUUUUCACUCUACUUCAUUCUAUUAAAUCUUGCAACUGCACUCUUCUGGUCUGUGUUUGUUAUGGCUGGAGCUGAGCUUUCGCUCGCCAUCCACCACUGUUGUUUGCCGCUGUCACAGACCCGCCACUGACUUCCAUCCCUCCGGAUCCAGCAGGGUGUCCGCUGUGCUCCUGAUCCAGCGAGGCGCCCAUUGCCACUCCCGAUGGGGCUAAAGGCUUGCCAUUGUUCCUGCAUGGCUGAGUGCCUGGGUUUGUCCUAAUCGAGCCGAACAGUAGUCACUGGGUUCCACAGUUCUCUUCUGUGACCCACGGCUUCUAAUAGAGCUGUAACACUCACCACAUGGCCCAAGAUUCCAUUCCUUGGCAUCCGUGAGGCCAAGAACCUCAUGUCAGAGAACACGAGGCUUGCCACCAUCUUUGAAGCGGCCCGCUGCCAUUUUGGAAGCGCCCAUCACCAUCUUAGGAGCUCUGGAAGCAAGGACCCCCCGGUAACGAAGAGUUGGUCGAAUCCAAAGAUGGGGAGCCUGUGGAUACUGAAGGCCAACUGUACUACAGGGUUAGAAGCAUAAGUCAGUGGAAGACAGAAGAGGCCAAUCUGCUUCUCCAUCAACCCAUUAGGCAAUGACAAAACUGCAACAAUACUGAGCUGAGAAAAGGGAAGUAGCUGCAACUUAAAUAAUCUUCGAACUUUUAAUUCUUACAUGAAAUGAGACCUAUGAACUGCUGAGCAAGGUUGUGUUAAACCAUUGUGUUAAAAUGACAAGAAACAUGUUUUCCUUAAAUUUCAUCUAGGAGAAAGGGAAAUACUGGUCCCAUCGAAUAAAUUAAAAAAACAGCAGUGGGGGAUGGGAAUAAAGUGCAGCCCACAAGCCAUACCAAACAUCAUAGUGAUACUGCCUUUUCAAAAGUGAUAGUUGCAGUUGCAAAAUGAGUGACUCAUUGUGUGUUCAUAGGAACACCUUUUACAUGGUGGAAAGGAAUGUUUAUCAGCAAUAUGAAAGAAAAGAGCUGAGGUUUAAUGAAUAUAUGUGAGGGGAUGGGAGCAGUUAAUGAAUUAUUUCAUAAAAUCUUUCCCAGAUGCUAUGAACUAAGUAUGAUUAUCAUUCUUUUAUAUAUAAGGAAGUCAAAGCGCAAAGAAAAUUAAUGACUUGCUGCAGUUCAAAUGGUUAGGAAGUGGCAGAGCUUGGCUUGAAACCGGGUUCUCACUGAUUCUAAACUCCAUACUCUUCUAUUUUAAACCACUGCUUCCAGACUGAAGCGGGAUCAGAUAUAAAUCCUCUACUCAAUUACUUUAUAAUUUUGCAAUAUCAUAAGACCCUGGAGAGCAUUCGUAAAUCACUACAAUACAAGGCCUUAAGUGCUUUAGGAGAGGUUCUGGAAAGUCAGAAGAGGAAGAAAUUACUUCCAGCUGAGGAUCAGGGAAAACUUCCCAGAGGAAAUUGAAUUUUAAUUUAAUCUCAUAAUUAUGACAGAGCUGAAGCUCUGGUUGGUGUUCCUAGUCUUCUUUCCUAUCUUUGAGAAAUGAGUCAUAUUUACAUUUUUUUAAAUAUUUAAAUAAUUGAUAAGUGUUCAACUAAAUCAAAAGUAACUCAAGUCUUCUUUGUCUUUCUCUUCCUAAAUUUAUCUUUCACACACAGAAAAAAAAAUAUCCACAAUUGCCAAUGCAAGACUGAGAACGAUGUGAUAUUCAGAGCCCACAAAAAAGCAUUACCCCACUCCAACCACAGGGCUCCUCCCAGCCUUGUCAAUGUGCCAUUCAUGGCCCGUAAUGACUUCCUCUCUCCAUCUCCACCAGUACUUCUAGAGGUUCAACUUUCAUCAACACCUGCAACGAGCCCCUUCCCCGUAUUACAUGAGUCGCAAUGACUGUUCAGUGAUAUCACUGUCCCUGUCAUAUGCAGUUUGUGGGCUGCUGCUGGAGUAAUUUUGCUGCCACUUUGCUAACUUAACUCAUCCAUUCACCCAGUGUUUUACGCCUCCAGGACACCCCAACUACUGUUUCAACAAACACUCUCAUACUUACCCCUAUAUGGACCUUUGUAGUAAUUUCUUUGAGAUGCAGACCCAGGAAUGAAGUUGCAGGGCCAUAGUAUAUGUGCCUAUAUAAUUUGACUAAUUAAGCACUAGAAUGCAUCCCACAGUAUAUGUGCCUAUAUAAUUUGACUAAUGAAGCACUAGAAUACAAGAAGUACAUGAAAAUUCUCACUGUCUAUUUUUAUUCUUGCUUCUAACUUAAUAUCUAUACUUACUGGUUUCCCCGUAUUUUUCAUUGGUUUCUUAAAUAUAGCAAUAUUUGUACUUUGCAAGUUCACACCAUUUUCAUCUUUUGUUGUCUCCCAGCUUCAAAACAGUGUUGAUGCUAUUUAGAAUUUACAUAUUUUGCUUCAUCCAUGCUUUGAAAAAUUAUUAUAAUAUCCUCAAAAUGUGGGGCCCAACAUCAUAUAUUCCUUAUAUAUUUAUGCAUCUUCUUAUUUCAAUACAUUCUUCAAGAGUUUCUCAAAGUGAUUCUUUAUAUGGUCAAUAUUCUGAAGGUUGAUUGAAUCUAACGUCCUUAGUUUUCAAAUGUAAUUACAAUGUUAAGAAGCCUGGGAUCAAUCUAAAUAUUUUUCCUUGGUAGGUAUGCUCAUUCUCUGGAAGCAUUUCCAUUUCUCUUCAUUGUUCUAGAAUUUAAUUGUAAUAUGUCUAAGUAAUAAUAAUAGCUAAUAAUUAACAAGUGAUUAUGUGCAAGGCACUAUUCUAGGGGUUUUACAUAUAUUAACUUAUUUUAUCCUCUCAAUAAUAUUUUAAGAUAGACAUUUUAUUAUCCCGAUUUUAGUGAUGAGUAAACUUUAGUCCCAAAAGUUUAUCUUAUGUGUCAUUUCAAAUAAGAGAUCUGGUAUUUUUCUUUAUUUCUGGGAUAUUAAUAAUCUUUAUUUUUUUUAAUAUGUCUUUUCUUUGCCCCUUCUGCCCACCACCACCACCACAAUCUUUUUUCUGAGAAUCCAAGUAACUGGAUGUUCGCAUUUUUUAUUUCUAUUUUCCAAGUCUUUUAGUUUAUUGUAAUGUUUUCUCUAAUUUUAUGUUUUUCUGUUAUCUUCUGAAAGUGUUCAAUAUAAUCUUCUGACAAACUAAUUCUUUCUUCAGCUGAAUCUUUUGGGUCUUCAGAUCUUUUUUUUUUUUUUAACUAUUAUAGUUCUCAUACUUACUAUCUCCACUUGAUUCAUUCUUAUGACUUCUUCCACAUUUUAACUUUUCUUUUUUUUUGAGAUGGAGUCUCACUGUGCUGCCAAGGCUGGAGUACAGUGGUGUGAUCUCAGCUCACUGCAACCUCAGCCUCCUGGGUUCAAGUGAUUCUACUGCCUCAGCCUCCCAAGUAGCUGGGAUUACAGGCUCACACGACUAUGCCCGGCUACUUUUUGUAUUUUUAGUUGAGACAGGGUUCUACCAUGUUGGCCAGGCUGGUCUCAAACUCCAGACCUCAGGUGAUCCAUCCACCUUGGCCUCCGAAAGUGCUGGGAUUACAGGUGUGAGCCACUGCACUCAGCCAUUACCAACUUUCUUUUUCCUUAGAGUAUUUCGGUUAAACUUAUUUUAUAUUCUUAGUCCAUCUUUUCCAAUAAUUCUCUUUCAUAUGAUAUUAUUUUUAGCUUGCCACCUUCCUUUUAAAGAUUAUUGUCCCUAGUAUCUAGAAGUUUUAUCCCCCAUGAGCUCAUGACACUACCUGAUAAUAUAAAUUAGGGAAGAGCCUACACUGUAUUUCCGCUUUUGAGUUUAAUCACAAAGAGGAUGAGACUAAAUGGGGAGCCUUGAAGUACCAAAACCUGUCCCCAUUACGUCUGUGCCACUCCACCAACAAAUCUCCUGAAUCAUAUUUUUCAAGAUGGUGCAGUCUUUUUAAAACAAAAUCUAUUAGCUCUAGCAUUUGAAGAGAAUUUAUAAGAUCCCUGAUAGCUGGCAUCUGUUUUAUUAGUGUCCCACACUAGCAGAGACUUUGCAGACCCAAAUAUUACCUUCCUGGCAUUUCGAGGUCCAGGCUAUUGCUACAGAAUUCUGUGACAAUUGUGAGGUAAGAACAGUCCCGAAGUGAUGGACCAACGAGUCAGAGGCAAGAUAACUGAAAGCCUCUGUCCCCACUGUCUUCCGAGAGCUGUGGUUUGACCAGGCAGCCCCCUAUGCCUCUUCCAGACUCAGGCUUCUCUCUGCUUCUGCAGUUUCUCCAGGUAGAUUUGAGGGGGCAGAGAGUUAGCGGUGAACUAGCAGCCUAUUCUAGUUCACUCUCUUGUUUUAGCCUUCCAGCUUCCUGACUCUCUAAUCAGUCAGCAUUUCCUUUCCACCUGUAACAGGCUUCAUGACCUUCAAGCCCUUUUUCUCUAAUCAUUGAAACUUCUAGAACCGUAGACACUAAUAUACAGAUACAUUCUUUAAAUUAUUCUAAAUAGAUGGUUAAAACAUUACAAUCCGGAACUUAGAUCCCAAAUUUCC